AGGACCUCAAAUGAAUCCUUGAUAAUGAGACCUCUACUGCAGAGUGUGGGCUUUCCAGCCAGAAACUGCUUUAUCUUGAGUCAACUAAUUAACUUGACAAAGCUCUCAGUGCUUUAAAAACAAGCAACAUCUCUGAACAGCUGACAGCAUUUUAGAGAGAUACAUCUGGGAAGCUGCAAGCACAGAAAUACAUCUGUUUCCAUUGUUAUAGAAAGAUAAACAGGAUCAGACUCCAGACACUGUGGGAAAAAAGUUCUUGCUUGUCUGCUUACUGUUUACUGCCUUUCUGGAGGAAGAAAUGUCACGGAUGUGUCAAAUGCCAGGAGCCAUCAGAUAAAUGGAGAUAUUGGUUCACAAGGACCUUUUUGGAACAGAGAGUGAGACUUCCUCUCUGUUAACUCUGCUGGCUGCACAUUGGCCAAGUCCAGAUUGAAGACCUAUUAGUCAUGUCUGACUGGAAAGCACACACUGUAUCCAUGGCCUUCAAGGUCAGAUGGCAUGUUAACAGUUUGAGAAAAUUGCUCACAGAAACUAUAUCAAUGAUGCUGAGUCCUGCCUUUGAGUCUCUGCUGAAAACAGCCAGAUUAUUUUCAGAGUGAAUGAAUAAAUUAUGCUGCAU
rnacentral:lncRNA from 1 species